rnacentral:lncRNA from 1 species
CUAUGUAACAGAUUCCAAAACUUCCCUUGAAUUUUUAAAAUAGCCUUUGAGAGAUGUUAAUAAAUUUUUAGUUUAAGAAUGCUUUUAAAAAUCUUUUGAAAAGGAAAAAUCUAGAAGAGGUUACAAUGACAAUAAUCAUCAAAUGCAUUAUAUCUGUGCAUGAAAACUUUAUCAAGAUCACUCAUUUGGCAAUUCACUCCUCUCAAAGGCUAUGAAGUUCUAAUGCUUUUCUCACAAUGCUAUGAUAGCUUUGCUUUGAGAUAACUUCGGCUUUAGUCAUUCAAAGUCACCUUUUAAAUUUUGAACAAUAACAAACUCGAGAGUUAAAAAGAAGGCACAUUUUAAGAUGAGAAAAAAUUCAUGAGUCUGGUGGCAUUACUGCAGUUUAAUAAAGAAUUUAAAACAUCUAAUGUUUUAAAAAUUUCUAGUAUUCAUUUGAUGCUAACUAUUUCUAAAGCAAACUGUGAAAAGCAA